GCGGCUGAAAAAUAUCUCUACCAUUAAUAACGCGCCGCCAUGAAGCUGCUUUCGUGUUUUCUGAUGUUAUUCUCAGUUGCAAUGGCACAAGAGAGCACGUGCAAACGACUAGUUUGUGUGAGGGCUCCGUGUCCAUACUACGUGUGCUUGUUUCCGCCAGGGUUGAGUUGCAGCAUAGAUAAUUUCUGGUCAGACGGGAAUCGACGUGUGCCCUGCUGGUUCGAAGUGUUGCGUACAGACCCUGAUCCUUUUCUUGCAUAGCGAAGAAAUUAUCACUGUGGAAACGUCAUACAGAUGAGCUAAAAAUGUUGGCCAUCUAAAUAAAUGGUUAA